AGUGAACGCUGGCGGUAGGCCUAACACAUGCAAGUCGAACGGCAGCACAGUAAGAGCUUGCUCUUACGGGUGGCGGGUGGCGGACGGGUGAGGAAUACAUCGGAAUCUACUUUUUCGUGGGGGAUAACGUAGGGAAACUUACGCUAAUACCGCAUACGACCUACGGGUGAAAGCAGGGGAUCUUCGGACCUUGCGCGAUUGAAUGAGCCGAUGUCGGAUUAGCUAGUUGGCGGGGUACAGGCCCACCAAGGCGACGAUCCGUAGCUGGUCUGAGAGGAUGAUCAGCCACACUGGAACUGAGACACGUUCCAGACUCCUACAGGGAGAAGCAGUGGGGAAUAUUGGACAAUGGGCGCAAGCCUGAUCCAGCCAUACCGCGUGGGUGAAGAAGGCCUUCGGGUUGUAAAGCCCUUUUGUUGGGAAAGAAAAGCAGCAGGUUAAUACCCCGCUGUUCUGACGGUACCCAAAGAAUAAGCACCGGCUAACUUCGUG
rnacentral:rRNA from 1 species